rnacentral:misc_RNA from 1 species
GUGGUGUUUGGUUUGAUAUGGGUGGUUGCUCCCUGCUUGAGCAGGCACGGCCACGCGGACAUUCCUUUUCAGUUGUGCGGCAAGGCUUNAAUCGUCUUGAUUGUAUAUGUGGGUUUCCUGUGUUGCAUACCUGAUCAAUGGCAUCGUUUUGAUCAAAAAUGUACCUUUUUCGUCAGGCGUUGCACCUGCAACGUCGGAUGAACCAUGCAGCAUCCUCUUUGAUCCAUAUAGUCAAUGAGCAUUCGUUGAUUGUUUGCCCGUUGAGGGUGGCUUGGUCUCUCGGAUAUGGAAGCCAAAGUGGCAUGGAUUCGUCUGAUCCUUUAUUGCCCU